GACCAUCAUUCACCAUGGUACUUUCCUUGUUCUGAAAUUCUCUAUUUGGAAGAAAGGGAGACCUGAACUGAGGAU
rfam:Triticum aestivum genome assembly, contig: Triticum_aestivum_CS42_TGACv1_scaffold_456510_5DS